rnacentral:rRNA from 1 species
AGUAACACGUGGGCAACCUGCCUCAUAGAGAGGAAUAGCCUUCCGAAAGGGAGAUAAUACCUCAUAACAUUGCAGUUUCGCAUGGAACAGCAAUUAAAGGAGUAAUCCGCUAUGAGAUGGGCCCGCGGCGCAUUAGGCUAGGUUGGUGAGGUAAUGGCUCACCAAGGCGACGAUGCGUAGCCGACCUGAGAGGUGAUCGGCCACAUUGGGACUGAGACACGGCCCAGACUCCUACGGGAGGCAGCAGUGGGGAAUAUUGCACAAUGGGGGAAACCCUGAUGCAAGCAACGCCGCGUGAGUGAUGACGGCCUUCGGGUUGUAAAGCUCUGUCUUCAGGGACGAUAAUGACGGUACCUGAGGAGGAAGCCACGGCUAACUACGUGCCAGCAGCCGC